CCCCUAGACGUUCUGGGCUGCACGCGCGCUACAAUAAUACGCACAGCGAGUAUCACCGAGCUCGAAAGGGCAAGGUAAACAAUAGAAAAGGUACUGUAAUGGUUAUAGAUCCUUGUAAUUAUUGAUCUUCAGCGAGGAAUUCCUAGUAAGUAUGUGUCAUCAUCACGCACUGAUUACGUCCCUGCCCUUUGUACACACCGCCCGUCGCUCCUACCGAUUGGGUGAGCCGAUGAAACUCUCGGAUGUAGGCUAUUCAUAGCCCGCAGAAGAGAUUUGAAUCGUAGCGCUUAGAGGAAGGAGAAGUCGUAACA
rnacentral:rRNA from 1 species